CAUUAAGUGUCAGAAUACUAGUGUAUAAUUUUCUACAAUUUGGAAUUGAAACUUCUGAUUUCACCAGGUCAUACACAUAUCUGAGCUUGAAAAGACACAUGAAAAAGAUCUGGAAAGGA